AGUGAACGCUGGCGGUAGGCCUAACACAUGCAAGUCGAACGGCAGCACAGUAAGAGCUUGCUCUUACGGGUGGCGAGUGGCAGACGGGUGAGGAAUACAUCGGAAUCUACUUUUUCGUGGGGGAUAACGUAGGGAAACUUACGCUAAUACCGCAUACGACCUACGGGUGAAAGCAGGGGAUCUUCGGACCUUGCGCGAUUGAAUGAGCCGAUGUCGUAUUAGCUAGUUGGCGGGGUAAAGGCCCACCAAGGCGACGAUCCGUAGCUGGUCUGAGAGGAUGAUCAGCCACACUGGAACUGAGACACGGUCCAGACUCCUACGGGAGGCAGCAGUGGGGAAUAUUGGACAAUGGGCGCAAGCCUGAUCCAGCCAUACCGCGUGGGUGAAGAAGGCCUUCGGGUUGUAAAGCCCUUUUGUUGGGAAAGAAAAGCAGCAGGUUAAUACCCCGCUGUUCUGACGGUACCCAAAGAAUAAGCACCGGCUAACUUCGUG
rnacentral:rRNA from 1 species